CUUAUCUACACCGAAACAGCACAGCGAAGAACAAAAUCAUUAAUAAAUAAAUAAAUAUCAUUAUUAAUAUAAUCCAGCUCAAAAAGCAGUAGAUCAAACCACAUUCACACCUCUAACUUCAUUCUCAAGCCGAUUAAGCUCCACCUUAACCGGAUCUGACCCAUGAAGCAACGUCAUGAACUCAUUAUCUGCAUCAAAGCUAGGCCUGACCGUAGCCCACCUCCUCGACGAGCUCUACGGCCCUUCCUUAAAAGAUCCAGACACAGCUAACAUCUGGUAAUAAAGUCGAACGCAGUGCUGGAACAGAGAGUGCGGAUAGUUUUCAUGAAGCACACAGUUUUCAAUUAUUUAGCACGACAGCACGCAAUGUUGGCUAGCAAACCCGUGAAGGAAUAGAUUCGUUUUUUUGCUUGAAAUGGCUCUUGUUUUCUGUCUCUCCGAUCUCUAAAAUCCUUUUUUUCUAGUUUCAUCUUCUUCUUUUUCCCUUGAACUCUUUCAAGGAAGAUUUUGCACUCUUUUUCAGGAAGAAUACUUGUCAGGGUAAAGAAAAGGACCAAGCAGGAAGCACCUAAUGGGAAGAAAGUGACAACGGUUCUUUAUAGGAAGGUUUUGGCGACAUAUAUGUAGAUGUUCAUUUAUGUCAUGUAUGUGAAACAGUGCAAGGUUCUAAAAUUUUGGUGCCGAGAGUCACAAGACAUGAUCACAUCGCGAGAGUCCUGCUUCCUGAGACCCUUCACGGAGACCCCGUGAUGAAUAAAUUCUGGCAAGGAGACGAGUUCCAUGCCAUUGCGUGUUAUUAGUAGGUAUCAUUUAAUAUCCCUGCCACUUCUCUGAAGCCAGAUAUCUUUGCUCCACUGUGAUAAUAAGGGAAGGACGAUCCUGAGAUAAGCUGGCAAAAAACAAAUCUCUUCUUUUAGUUCUUGAAGUUGUAUGCUCUCCUUCAAUAUUUCUCAUCGCUGUUGUGGAGCUAAUAAAUCUAAGGCCACUGUUCUUUCAAUGGCAUGAAAA